rnacentral:rRNA from 1 species
AGCUAACGCAUUAAGUUCCCCGCCUGGGGAGUACGGCCGCAAGGCUAAAACUCAAAGGAAUUGACGGGGGCCCGCACAAGCGGCGGAGCAUGCGGAUUAAUUCGAUGCAACGCGAAGAACCUUACCAAGGCUUGACAUAGCCGAGAACGCUGUAGAGAUACAGAACUCUUUGGACACUCGGUUACAGGUGGUGCAUGGUUGUCGUCAGCUCGUGUCGUGAGAUGUUCGGUUAAGUCCGGCAACGAGCGCAACCCUCGUCCUAUGUUGCCAGCACGUUAUGGUGGGAACUCAUGGGAUACUGCCGUGGUCAACACGGAGGAAGGUGGGGAUGACGUCAAGUCAUCAUGCCCCUUAUGUCUUGGGCUUCACGCAUGCUACAAUGGCCGAUACAAAGGGCUGCGAUACCGCGAGGUGGAGCGAAUCCCAAAAAGUCGGUCUCAGUUCGGAUUGGGGUCUGCAACUCGACCCCAUGAAGUCGGAGUCGCUAGUAAUCGCAGAUCAGCAACGCUGCGGUGAAUACGUUCCCGGGCCUUGUACACACCGCCCGUCAAGUCAUGAAAGUCGGUAACACCCGAAGCCGGUGGCCUAACCCUUGUGGAGGGAGCCGUCGAAGGUGGGACUGGUGAUUAGGACU